GACGAACGCUGGCGGCGUGCUUAACACAUGCAAGUCGAACGGAAAGGUCCUGCUUUUGUGGGGUGCUCGAGUGGCGAACGGGUGAGUAAAACGUGAGUAACCUGCCCUUGACUUUGGGGUAACUUCAGGAAAAUGGGGCUCAUACCGGAUAGGAGCUCCUGCUGCAUGGUGGGGGUUGGUAAGUUUCGGCGGUUGGGGAUGGACUAGCGGCUUAUCAGCUUGUUGGUGGGGUAGUGGCUUACCAAGGCUUCGACGGGUAGCCGGCCUGAGAGGGUGACCGGCCACAUUGGGACUGAGAUACGGCCCAGACUCCUACGGGAGGCAGCAGUGGGGAAUAUUGCGCAAUGGGCGGAAGCCUGAUGCAGCAACGCCGCGUGCGGGAUGACGGCCUUCGGGUUGUAAACCGCUUUCGCCUGUGACGAAGCGUGAGUGACGGUAAUGAGUAAAGAAGCACCGGCUAACUACGUG
rnacentral:rRNA from 1 species